CUUGUGAGAAGUGUACAUCUAUUGAUGGGGAUCGACCAGAAAAAAAGAAAGUAUUCUCUGUUUCUUCACUCGCUAUUGGUCAUGUGUAACACAUCUUUUUGAUGAGACAAGAUAUUCGCCUCGUCCACUAAUGCAAACAAAAGUGGUCUUAUUAUGUAGAGAGUUUUUUUCGGUGUGGUGCACCCCCGAGAACGCUUGAGCAUAACAAAUUCAGAAGGGGCCGGCCACAGCAGCCCCAUUCAUGGGCUAAUCAUAGAAUGUGUGCGGUGUGCACAAUUUAAGGCCAGUGCGAGAGUGUAUAGAAUUUUUUCGACGAAGCGAAGUACCCCCAUUUGACACAGUAUCUCGUAUAUGUGAAAGCUCUCCUUCUAUAUGUGAGGGGCGCAGAGUGUGCGCUUCCCGCCUCAUAACAGAGUCGUGGCACAGGGUGUCAGUUGUGUGAGUGUCUAAACCCCUCUCCACGGCUGGUGAUAGGUUUAAAUAUCAGUGACAGUGCGGUGAGCGCAGAAGCCUCAGAUGCAAGGUAGUGUAGUGUGCACUGGUGGGUAACCAUCUGUGCACGCUGCUGUGAAAUAUCCAGCGGCUCACGCCGUGUGUGUAUUUCUUUCUAUACCCCCAACUCACACGCCAAAAACACGGAGAUUUCCCCUGGAAGGGAAAAAAGCGUAACAAGGUCUCCGUUGGUGAACCAGCGGAGGGAUCAUUGCUGGAAUCUCAGGGCUUCGGCCCUGACCCAGAUACCCUAUGUGAACUUAUACCCUAUAUCGUUGCCUCGGCGCCGUGCCGGGCCUCUUUGUCGAGGCCCCCUCUGGCUACCUCACCGUAGACAGAGGAGCAGGCCCGCCGGCGGCCCACUAAACUCUCUGUUUUUAUAACGUAUCUCUUCUGAGUUUUUAAACAAAAAAUGAAUCAAAACUUUCAACAACGGAUCUCUUGGUUCUGGCAUCGAUGAAGAACGCAGCGAAAUGCGAUAAGUAAUGUGAAUUGCAGAAUUCAGUGAAUCAUCGAAUCUUUGAACGCACAUUGCGCCCGCUGGAAUUCCGGCGGGCAUGCCUGUUCGAGCGUCAUUUCAACCCUCAAGCCUCGCUUGGUGUUGGGGCGCUUCCCGUCAAACGGAAGGCCCUGAAAUUGAAUGGCGGGCUCGCUAAGACUCUGAGCGUAGUAAUUUUACAACCUCGCUUUGGUAGGAUUAGCGGUGCUCUUGCCGUAAAACCCCCCAAUUUUUUGAAAAUUUGACCUCGGAUCAGGUAGGAUGCCUUC
rnacentral:rRNA from 1 species